rnacentral:rRNA from 1 species
AACCAACUGGGAUUGCCUUAGUAACGGCGAGUGAAGCGGCAAAAGCUCAAAUUUGAAAUCUGGUACCUUUGGUGCCCGAGUUGUAAUUUGGAGAGUACCACUUUGGGACUGUACUUUGCCUAUGUUCCUUGGAACAGGACGUCAUGGAGGGUGAGAAUCCCGUGUGGCGAGGGUGUCAGUUCUUUGUAAAGGGUGCUCGAAGAGUCGAGUUGUUUGGGAAUGCAGCUCUAAGUGGGUGGUAAAUUCCAUCUAAAGCUAAAUACAGGCGAGAGACCGAUAGCGAACAAGUACAGUGAUGGAAAGAUGAAAAGAACUUUGAAAAGAGAGUGAAAAAGUACGUGAAAUUGUUGAAAGGGAAGGGCAUUUGAUCAGACAUGGUGUUUUGCGCCCCUUGCCUCUCGUGGGCUUGGGACUCUCGCAGCUCACUGGGCCAGCAUCGGUUUUGGCGGCCGGAAAAAACCUAGGGAAUGUGGCUCUGCGCCUCGGUGUAGAGUGUUAUAGCC